rnacentral:rRNA from 1 species
GGUGAACGCUGGCGGCGUGCUUAACACAUGCAAGUCGCGCGGGGAAACCCCUUCGGGGGGAGUACCAGCGGCGCACGGGUGAGUAACACGUGGGUAACCUACCCCUCAGCGGGGGAUAACCGGGGGAAACUCCGGCUAAUACCCCAUAUUAUCCGGUGACGACAGUUGCUGGAUGAAAGGAGCGUUUGCUUCGUUGAGGGAUGGGCCCGCGGCCCAUCAGGUAGUUGGUGAGGUAAUGGCUCACCAAGCCUACGACGGGUAGCCGACCUGAGAGGGUGACCGGCCACAAGGGCACUGAGACACGGGCCCUACUCCUACGGGAGGCAGCAGUGGGGAAUUUUGGACAAUGGGCGAAAGCCUGAUCCAGCGACGCCGCGUGAGGGACGAAGCCCUUCGGGGUGUAAACCUCUGUUGUGAGGGACGAAUAAGAUCUGGAGGAAAUGCCAGAUCGAUGACGGUACCUCACGAGAAAGCCCCGGCUAACUACGUGCCAGCAGCCGCGGUAAUACGUAGGGGGCGAGCGUUACCCGGAUUCACUGGGCGUAAAGGGGGCGCAGGCGAUCCAGUAUGUCGGGUGUGAAAUCCCACAGCUCAACUGUGGAAUUGCGCCCGAAACUACUGGGUUUGGGGCUGGUAGAGGGAGACGGAACUGCUGGUGUAGGGGUGAAAUCCGUAGAUAUCAGCAGGAACGCCGGUGGGGAAGCCGGUCUCCUGGGCCAAGCCCGACGCUGAGGCCCGAAAGCUAGGGGAGCAAACCGGAUUAGAUACCCGGGUAGUCCUAGCCGUAAACGAUGCCCACUAGGUGUGGGGGAGUCAUUCCUCCGUGCUGUAGCUAACGCGUUAAGUGGGCCGCCUGGGGAGUACGCCCGCAAGGUGAAACUCAAAGGAAUUGGCGGGACCCGCACAGCGGUGGAGCGUGUGGUUUAAUUGGAUGCUAGCAGACUUACAGGCUGACAUGCAGGUGGUACACCCGAAGGAGGACCCUUUCUUUGAAGGGAGCUGCACAGUGUGCACGCGUCGUCAGCUCUGCUGAGGUUGGUAGUCCGCACGAGGCACUCCUGCCUAGUGCAACGAUCGCGGACCUCUAGCACGGGGACAAGUCGAAGAAGAGGGACACGCUCGAAUCUGCUUAGCUGGUCAACGCCUCUCAAUGGGAU